CACCGGGUUGUGCUGAAGGUUUGAGGCGCUGAUUCCUCCCAGCUGAAGAAGAUGAUCUGCAGGAUGCUUCUGCUCAUCAGCCUGAUCUCCUGUGUCUCUGGAACAUUUGUAGUGAAAGUGACACAGACCUCCUAUCAGGCAGAGGAGAACCACAACAUCACACUGGAAUGGACGUUUCCAACCAAACCUGACACUUCC